CUUUCUUUUGUUUAUGUUCUUCCCUUUAACUGAUGGCACCUGCCUCUCAAAAUCAGAGAACACAACCACCAGAACACGAUCAGGAAUUUUGCUGUGAGGAAAGCGUAGGAUACCGAGAGCUCGUCUGAGCGCUCAGUCUUCUCAGGUCUGCUGUUGUUGCACCAGCCGUCCGGCAGCUGUCGGGGAUCCGGAUUCCACGGGCCUUUCCCUUCUGAAACAUAAGCUGCCUUCCCCUGAGUAACUGCCCGAGAAAGUGCAUAUUACAUCCAAAUGGCUGGGUCAGGUAGAGGAAGGGGACAUGCUUCAUCUGCCUUCAACAUGGAGGUUAUUGGCUUUGGUAAAGAUGCAGCUCUACGUGAUGUCAUCUGUAAACCUCACCAUAAUUUCCAAUAGGAGAAGACUCCUAUGAGAGAUGAAACCAAAGAAGGCAAACAAAAAAGUUCACAGAUAAAACAGAAAAAGGAAUGGGAAUGUCCAUAGUCACAGAGACUGGCUCAGCUGGAAUCUUUGUUCCCUUUUAGAGCAUCAUUGAGAAGCAUGAUACGGAAGGUGCUAGAAAAGAAGGAUGAGGAAAAAGAAAAACCUGAAGAUGAGAAAGACAAAAGACAAAGAAGGUGAAGAUGAUGAAGAAGCAGAAGAACCAGAGGAAUAUGAUGAAGAAGAGCAUGAAGAGGUGUAAUGUUAGUUUUCCUAUUUAUACAGAGUCAGAUCCCAGUCAUUGAUAGUGUGUUGACUGGCAAAGAAAUGUUCCAAGCUUCCAAUAAGGCAGAGUUGUUUUGGGAGAAAUUAUUACAUUAAUUGUCUUUGUUGCACUACAUUGUAUUAUAAAUUUAAGCGACUGUUCUAGACUUAUUACUCACAAAGAGCUCUGAUAAAAAGAUCUUGUACAUAAGAAUGUGUUUACACAAUCAAUACACACAAUUACUCCUUUUUAUCAUGAAAACGGUGAUGCCUGUUGUUUCAUAUAUAUCAGGACUUCAUUACAGUAUUUUCCUUUUUCUUUCCCAAUAAUCUAUUACUGUUUUAAAGUGUGGGUGCUCAAGUGCAGUUUAAAUAAUUUUUCUUCUAUAAAUUGUCUUCUCUACACAUACAGUGAUUUUUUCCCCAUUGGUUUAGGAAAAUGACUACAUUUCUUCCCAUUUUGAAGAUGGAGAUGGCUUUGGUGUUGCCAGUGAUGACAAUAUGGUUGAAGCAACAUAGUAGCUGUUGUUUCUAAGUAUUAAACUGCUCAAGCCUUAUACUACCUGAAGCAGUAUAUUAUGGAGAUAGGCUGAGUAUAAAUAGACUUAAUGCUUUAGCUCUUUUGGUUUUAAGCAGACUCUCCAAAAACACACUGGAGUUUAAUUGUACUGAAUAAUUGUACAGAAUACUUUUAUUCUGUAAAAGAGACUAGGGAAUCCUAUGUUUUGUUCUUUUGCUGAGUGCUUUGCAGACAUGCCUUUUUAUGGUCCUCUGGAAUGCCUAUGGAUAGAAUAGGGUAUGCCAUUGUGUUUCCUCUGCACAGAAAAAAAGUAUGCAUUUUACUUGAAAUUGUCUAAGCAUUUGCACUAGUCAAUUCUAUGCCUCAACAGUAAAAUGGUAAAACAUAUAAUGAAAUUCUUGAUGACCACUACAGAAAAAAAGACACAGAGCCUUUACGGACAUAAGCUGCUUGUUGGUAGCUGACUCCUUUGAAUAACUUUUAAGUAACUUCUGAGUUCAGGUAACUGAAAAUAACUGACAGCUAUACAUUUCAACAUAAACUGACUUGGAAGAACCAAUGCAUGAUGUCCUAAUUAAAAAAAUAAGAAAAUGCCAAGAAAAAGCAAAAGCUUAAUGUUUGGAACCAUCCUUUUUAUUUGAAAACCAACAGCUGUAGUGUUGAAAACUUAUUACUGAGAUUAGACGCUUGAAGAAUGCUGUGACAGCACAUUCUCUAUAUCUUACUGUCUUUUGAUAGUAAAAAAUAAUAUUUUUUAUUGUUACUAUAUUACUGUUGAUCAGGGGUUUUGGGCUUUUUAUGUUGCUUGGUUUUGCAGUGUUAUU